rnacentral:rRNA from 1 species
UACGUAGGGUGCGAGCGUUGUCCGGAAUUACUGGGCGUAAAGAGCUCGUAGGUGGUUUGUCGCGUUGUCCGUGAAAACUCACAACUCAAUUGUGGGCGUGCGGGCGAUACGGGCAGACUGGAGUACUGCAGGGGAGACUGGAAUUCCUGGUGUAGCGGUGGAAUGCGCAGAUAUCGGGAGGAACACCAGUGGCGAAGGCGGCUACCUGGCCCACUCUUGACGCUGAGGCGCGAAAGCUAGGGGAGCAAACGGG